GUUUCUCCACCUGACAAUGGGAUGAACAAAUGAAAACGUUUAUCAGCCAUAUGGAGGGAAAGAAUAGAUUAUUACUUUGUGUAACUUAGACUUAUUUUACCUUCUUGCACUGCUGUGGUAUACAUCACGUCAUCAAUGUUGAAUCCUAUUGGCGCGAAAAUAAAAGUUAAAGAAGUUCAUAGUACUGGUAUUACCUUCCAUCAUACUACACUGCAUAUAGCUUUUCACCAUUUUUAAGUAUCCCUCAAUGAUUUAGCCUUUCAGCUCACCCUUGCUAGUCAAUGUCUCAACAUUGUUUUUAAAUUGAGGUUGUUACAAGCUUUUGGCAUUGAAUGAGACAUGGUAAGAUGCGUCUCAGAUUGGGAUAGUUAAAUCAUGCUCAAGCUAACCAGUUAUUUUAAAUGACUCUGAAUGCGUCAGACUGACAUUUCUAGAUCAAAUGAAGCCCAUUCAGUUGGUCAUCUACAUUACACCAGCACCCCUUAAAGAAACCAUCUUUCACAGACAUCAAACCAAGCAAGACAAGGCGGAGUGCCAAGCACCCACAGGAUAAUGUGUUUAUACUGCAUGUGCAGAGCCAUACUGGAAGUUAGAGGGUAGGUAAUGUAGACAUUAUGUAGCCUUGUGUGUUAGUAGAAGCAGGGGACAGUUACAGCAAGCAGAGUGGUCUAAAUUGAGGGGAUCACACAUUUGUUUACUUUGUCAUUAGCAACAAAUAUUUAUGUUGAAUAAAUAGUGACCCUCUCAGCUGCAUUUUAUGACAUACUGCAUCUCAUUCACAGCACAACUACCUGGUUAAAAAAUAACUCAAAAUCAUGUGAAGGAAAAUCUCAAAGGAGAAAAUAUGGGGAUGUUAGUGGGAUUUUAUGACACAGGGAGGCUUUUUCUUUCUCCCUUCUGUUCAGUUGAAGGUGCAGCUUCAUUCACGGGAGCGUCCCACAAUAGCGAGGAUGUAGAGGAAAAUGUUGAUGAUGUCAGUGUAGAGGUUGAGGGCAGCAAAAAUGUAUUCCUCUGGACUCAAAGCCAACUUCUUGUUGCCCAAGAGAAGCUGAGUAUCCACAGCCAAGAACUGCAGGGAAAAAUGAAAUUCAUUUGUUUUACCAGCUGAGGAUUUAGGUGGUAUGUUUAACACCGACCAAACUUAUACAAAUACUGCCUUAUCCUGAGGUCAUGGUAAACAGCUCACAAAGACAUGUGUCAAGUACCUUAAAGCAUCAAAACAAAUCACAAAUAUUACAGCUGCACAUUUUUAAACCAUGUACCGUUCAUAAAUUUUAUUUUUAUGUAAGUUACUUCUGCUUGAGUGCAAUUUGAAAUUAUUCUCCAGUGCUGACAUAGAUAACACGUACAGUAUUUAUUUUUCUUAGUGUGCGAUAUUUGCAACAAAAGACUUCAUUUCACAUUAGGAAAUACCUUAGAAAUUGUCAUUGAUAAUUUUGUGUUGUUUUGCAGCCUGAUAAACAUUUAUUCUCAUGAAUCUUUUUACUUUCUGAAUCUAAUUUCAUCAUAUCAGCAGUACCUCCAGCAACACAUCCCCACCAAUCCAGGACUGAUUUCAAUGUUAUACCCACUUUGGCUUGAACUUGCAUUGAUGCUUCUAUUCAUAUUGUUGACUACGUCCUCCUCCCAUGAGCUUCUCCUUUCACACUUACUGCGCAGCUUUGUCAAACAUAACCUAUCUUCUUGAUUUUUGUGUACAUAGCCUUCAGCAACAGUAAAGACAAACAUAGAA